UACGAAGGGGGCUAGCGUUGCUCGGAAUCACUGGGCGUAAAGGGUGCGUAGGCGGGUCUUUAAGUCAGGGGUGAAAUCCUGGAGCUCAACUCCAGAACUGCCUUUGAUACUGAGGAUCUUGAGUUCGGGAGAGGUGAGUGGAACUGCGAGUGUAGAGGUGAAAUUCGUAGAUAUUCGCAAGAACACCAGUGGCGAAGGCGGCUCACUGGCCCGAUACUGACGCUGAGGCACGAAAGCGUGGGGGAGCGAACAGG
rnacentral:rRNA from 1 species